UACGUAGGGGGCUAGCGUUGUCCGGAUUUAUUGGGCGUAAAGAGCUCGUAGGCGGUUUGUCGCGUCUGCUGUGAAAACUCGGGGCUUAACCCCGGGCCUGCAGUGGGUACGGGCAGACUAGAGUGCGGUAGGGGGAGACUGGAAUUCCUGGUGUAGCGGUGAAAUGCGCAGAUAUCAGGAGGAACACCGGUGGCGGAAGGCGGCCCUCUGGACGGUGACUGACGCUGGAGGCGCGAAAGCCAGGGGAGCGAACGGG
rnacentral:rRNA from 1 species